rnacentral:rRNA from 1 species
GUGCCAGCCGCCGCGGUAAUACGUAGGGGGCGAGCGUUGUCCGGAAUUAUUGGGCGUAAAGGGUGCGUAGGCGGCAUGCAAAGUCACCUGUGAAAAACCUCGGCUUAACCGGGGGCUUGCAGGUGAAACUAGUAUGCUUGAGUGCAGGAGAGGAGAACGGAAUUCCUGGUGUAGCGGUGAAAUGCGUAGAUAUCAGGAGGAACACCAGUGGCGAAGGCGGUUCUCUGGACUGUAACUGACGCUGAGGCACGAAAGCUGGGGGAGCAAACAGGAUUAGAUACCCUGGUAGUCCCAGCCGUAAACGAUGGAUACUAGGUGUAGGCACCGAUGAAGGUGUCUGUGCCGCAGCUAACGCAUUAAGUAUCCCGCCUGGGGAGUACGGUCGCAAGGCUGAAACUCAAAUGAAUUGACGG